CAUUACGAGUGGGGAACCGAAAGCGUCAAGUU
rnacentral:scRNA from 1 species